UGGGGCGGAAGGGUCCUGGAAGGUCACAGAGAUGUGGGGUGGUUGGGGCGGAAGGGUCCUGGAAGGUCACAGCAAUACGGGGUGGUGGGGCUGGAAGGGUCCUGGAAGGUCAUCACUGAAUGGGUUUUAUUGGAAGGGUCCUGGAAGGUCAUCACUGAAUGGAUGGGAUUGGAAAGGUCCUGGAAGGUCAUCUCUGAGUGGGUUGGAUUGGAAAGGUCCUGGAAGGUCUCUGGGAGUGGGUUGGAUUGGAAGGGUCCUGGAAGGCCAUCACUGAACGGGUUGGACUGGAAGGGUCCUGGAAGGUCAGUACUGAAUGGAUGGGGUUGGAAAGGUCCUGGAAGGUCAUUACUGAACAGAUUUAAUUAGAAGGGUCCUGGAAGGUCAUUACUGAAUGGAUGGGAUUGGAAAGGUCUUGGAAGGUCAUCACUAUGCGGGUGGGAUUAGAAGGGUCCUGGAAGGUCACUUCUGAGAGGGUUUGAUUAGAAAGGUCCUGGAAGGUCAUCACUGAAUGGGUUUUAUUGGAAGGGUCCUGGAAGGUCAUCACUGAGUGGGUUGGACUGGAAGGGUCCUGGAAGGUCAUCACUGAAUGGAUGGGGUUGGAAAGGUCCUGGAAGGUCAUCUCUGAGUGGGUUGGAUUGGAAGGGUCCUGGAAGGUCAUCACUGAAUGGAUGGGAUUGGAAAGGUCCUGUAAGGUCAUCACUGAAUGGAUGGGAUUGGAAGGGUCCUGGAAGGUCAUCACUGAAUGGAUGGGAUUGGAAGGGUCCUGGAAGGUCAUCACUGAGUGGGUUGGACUGGAAGGGUCCUGGAAGGUCAUCACUGAAUGGAUGGGGUUGGAAAGGUCCUGGAAGGUCAUCACUGAACGGGUUGGACUGGAAGGGUCCUGGAAGGUCAUUACUGAAUGGAUGGGGUUGGAAAGGUCCUGGAAGGUCAUCACUGAAUGGAUGGGGUUGGAAAGGUCCUGGAAGGUCAUCACUGAACAGAUUUAAUUAGAAGGGUCCUGGAAGGUCAUGACUGAAUGAAUGGGAUUGGAAAG
ensembl:lncRNA